rnacentral:lncRNA from 1 species
UUGGGUAUAGAGCCCGCUACGCGCCUUCAAAGGCCGGAAAGAGAUUUCGCUUUGGCUUUGGUUCGCUUGACCGUGUGACUAUGGUUCCUGUGGUCUUGUUCAAAUAGAAUCAGUCCCCUUUUUGGGUGCUAUCACAUAGCCCUAAGCAGGGCAAGGAAGGUAUCUAAUCGACAGCAGAGAGAUAUGCCAAUUAGAGGCACACUUACUAGAAACCUCUUUUCGUUAAAUCAUAUCAUAUGGUCAGACAGAAUUCUUAUCUUAGUGACUCUUAUCCAAUCUCUUUAGGGAGAUAAUGACUCAUGGGUAUGGGUCAGGACAGUAUGAACUUCGAGGGUUCAAUGCAGCUAGAGAGCUGCUGCACCUACGCUUCUCUGGCUGCAGGAGAUGGGGUCUCGAUAAAAGGAAAGGGAUGAGUUCAUUCUCUGGAAUGGUCUCGGAGAUGGCUUCUCUUCCCUCGGAUGGAGCAUCUGACCUUCCGUUGGAGAUGCAAUAUAUGGGGUUCCAUGGAUCCAUUAGUUGGUUCCGGUUCCUCGCUAGGGGAGAGAGCAGUCUUUCAGGAGGGAGGAACCUGUGACACCUGCACGGAUGCCUGACUGGAACGAUUUGACCACGAAUUCAAUCUUGUCUUGGAUGCCCACCCUACAGGAUAAUAUCCAUUAGAAUCCCAUCCCCUAUCUUCUUUUGUUCUGCUUCUCGUAAUUUUCCUUGUUGCUUGGUUGGAUACCCUUCGCCCUGACCUUUUCGAAAGGAUUUCAAGCCAUAACACGCCCUACGUUCCUAUUAAGAUAAGAAGAAGGGGAUCUCGUAACGACCCCCCGAUCCUCACAUAGUAGUUUAAGGGAAGAGAAUGGAAUGACUCGCAAAACAGCGUAGCAAACUACAAGCGAACGAACGAGCAGAAACAAGCUAGUCAUGGGUGUGGUUCCUCUCCUUUCAGUCGAGUUGCUAAAGCACCUCGACGCUGCCAAGCUCUCUGUCUUGGUUAAUGGUUCUCCAAAAGGAUAUUUCUCAUGUUAGGCGGUGUGAGACAGGGGGAUCCUUUAUCCCCCGUUGUUAUUUUGUAUUGCGGAAGAUGUCUUAUCACGGGGUCUUACCGGGCUUAAUCACCUGGGCAUUCUUUCUUCAAUUACCGAGACCUGGACAUACAAAGAUCUAGGCAGCUCAUCUUCUUCUAACGAAGUCAGAUCUUUUUCCAUACCAUAACGUAUAUAGAAUCGAUUUUCUUUUCUGAUCGCUAGCCUGCCGGGCCGCCCCCGCGAUUAAACUAUCAAUCUCAUAAGAGAAGAAAUCUCUAUGUCCCCUUUUUCUUGGUUUUCUCCCAUGCUUUUCAGCGGGGGAUGGUGAUACCCCUUGAAAGACAUAACUAACUUACAAGACUGAAAAUGAAAAGUAAACUAACGGAACAAGGCGCCGGAGGAACCCCUUUCUAAAAGUCUAAGAGCUAGAAGGCGGGGUACAGCGGUUGCUUCCUGUAAGAUUUGAAUAGUCAUGGCCUCAUGGUCAAGCCAGAAAGGAAAGAAAAAGUCUAUAUCUUCUGUCCUCUCUAUUACUCGCUCCAGGUAUUACACUCGUUGGGCUCAAGGUAGCAUUACUAAACCUAUAAAGAGCGGGAUGCUAUUCUAAGAGGAAUUUACUGUAAAAUAGAUAUCUCUUUGCUCUUCAGCCAGUAAGUCUGAAAGCAAGUCAGUUGUAGGCCAGACCUGUCAUCAGUAGUUCUACUUUUGUAGAUUGAAGCUUUUAUAAGGCAGGAAUGGGAGCUGCAAAGGCAGAGAUAAAGCUGCGAUUGCUCUUGCUCGACUCUUCAUGGCACGGUUGGCCGGGAAUGAGAACAAAAGGAGUAAGAAGAAACUGGCUAAGAUUCAAUUGACCUAUAUAGCAACCAGUUCAACUAAAGGGGCGUAGCGGAGUGACCCCUACGCCCCUUUAGUCUCAUCUACCUACUCCAUGAGAGAAGGUGAGAACUCAUCAAUCAAAAACUUUUCGUAUAAUAAGGAAGUGGCUAGUCUAUCUUUGUCUCUUUUUUCUUUCUCUUCCUGCUCUUCUCCCAUGCCCGCUAGGAACCGCUAAUAGUCAUAGUGGGACCUCUCCUUUUAUGUCUUUAACAAAGUAAAGUUCUUGUCUAAUUGAUCAAGAGAAGGGGAUCUCUACGAUAAUGAAAUACAGACGGACCUGCUUUGAGUGUCCUUUCUGUGCUCUGUUUUAAGCUGGAAAGAGUGCUUUCCCGAUUCGAUGGUUAAGCUCCGGAGAUCCUCUUUUCUCUGGUUUCGGUAGGAUGAAUUUCAUUUUAUGUUUGACGCAUCGCAUAUAGUUAGCCUGACUAAGGCAUCGAUAUUAAAAGAAGUAAUGUCAGCUCUCAUGAAGGUAAGCACAUUUUUUUUUAUUAGACGAUUCUAAGGGUACGGGACACCUCCUCCAGUCUAUUAGGCGAGGUAUGUUCUCUUGGCCUGAGAGUUGGUUCAACCCCAACGAGAAACAUCCUUUCUAGUGUGUUCAAUCCCAC